CAUGGUCGCACCAGUGCACCCCAGCCUAGAUGACAGAGAACCUGUCUCAAAAAGUAAAAAGGAGAAAAUCUAAAAAGAAAUGUAUUAAAUCAAGACGUGUAGACAUAGAAAAUAAUAGAGACCCCUCUCUCCACAAAACCUUGUAUAUAUGGUCAAAAUGAUCUUCAACAAGGGUGCAAAGGCCAAACUAUGGAGAGGGAAUAAUAGCCCCCUUUAACACAAAAACGGUAUGAAGAUUUGCUAUCAACAUGUAAAAUAUAGAAGUCAGAAUUGUAGAUUAUACUAUAUUUUUUUAAAAACUCAAAAUGUUUAAGUCUGAAAGUCUUACACAAAAAUAUAAGGGAAAAAUAUCCAAAAUUAUGCCAUGGAAUUUGGCAAUGGGUUCUUGACUGCCAGCAGCCCCACAUCCCUGGAGCAUCCAUCCGCUCACCGCUGCCUGGUGCUGGGUCCUUCCACACCUGUCACACUGCUUUGUGCGGGGCCCUGAGGGGCACGAGCCAGGACACCAGGCCGAGCACAGGGCACAGGCCGGGCGUUCUCCGGCUAUUCGAGGGCAGGCUGUCCCCAUGACAGCCUCAGGCGCAGGAGGGAUGACGGCCUGAUUCGAGUCUGUGGAAGGAGGAAGAAGCUCGUUUCCUGAGCCAGCAGGGACACAGAGGCCAAUGCGGGACACAGGGACACAGGGGUGGAUGCCAUAAAAAUAUAUGGCAUAUAUUUUGAAACAUGGCCGCAAUUUGAAUAAUUAGAGUGUUAUGCUGAAACUGCACCAAAAUUUAUCAUUCCAGUGACUACAGGGAAUUUUUAAUAGUUGUUAUUUUUAUAAUAAAAUUAAACUUUAAUGAAAUAACUGACUUUCAAACUUCAGCAAGAGGACAAAUAUUCAGCCAGAGGUAUCAGUUCCCGGUUUCUGCUUCGGGUCCUCUCUGGUCUCCCACAGCCCCUCCUGCAUCACCCAGGUCUAAGGGGCCACCUGGCCUGGCCUGUGUUCCCUCGUCCCUCCCCUUCCCCACCCAGAUCCUGCAGCGCCUUCCUGGGGCAGGGGCGGCGAACCGUCCAGAGCGGGAGGCUCCCUCGCCCAGGGCAGCACAGCUCCGCCCCUCUCCACACCUGCCCAGCCCCUGGCAAAGGAGUCGCCUGGGCCUGGCCCGCUGCCCGCCCCCCAAUGCCUGCCCUGUGCCUGCAACUGCGACGCUGCCAACAAGAGGUGCCAGAGACCGCGGCGCAACCCGCCCAGAGAGCAGGGUCCCACUCAACUGGGAGCGGGGGCACGUCCCUUCCGCUUCUCAAUGGCAGGAUCAAUUACUUUCAAUCUCCAC
rnacentral:lncRNA from 1 species